AUGUAUAUCCAUAAAAUCAAGACGCGAUCUAAGAUAAUGAAGGUUGGUAGAAACGAAUUUUCCGGUGAGGUUUCGACGGCUUUCACACUGAGUCAGAAUCUUCAAGACCGCACAUCUCUCUUCACAGUUUUUCAUGUUCUUCUUCUAUUCGAUUUCUUUUUUAAGCCCCCAGGUUUGAUCUUUGAGAUAUUGUUGUGUUUGCUGCGAUUGUUGCUCGUUCUUGCGAGUUUCGUUGAUACUGAAAUUGUGUAUUUUAAUUCUUAA